CGCUCGCCCACUUAAUCCUGCGCCCGCCUGCGCCGAGGACGCGCCCUGCGGAAGAGGCCGCAGUGAAAAGAACAGGUGACGUUUAUUUUAAGCCACAGUAUCCGCAACAUUGUGAUUUCAGGUGAUGAAUGUAAGAAGCUACGCACAAAAUACCUCAGUCUUUUCUUCCUGCCGUGUUUGGAAACCUUGUAUGCAUCCUGCCCUGACCGCAUCUACGUAGGGAUGGCCAUGGGCCCGAGGCUAGCAGCCACGCGUGGGGCAGCUACAGGGUCCGGGGCCAGCAGCCACGCGUAGGGAAACGACAGGGUCAAGGGUCAGCAGUCACGCGUGGGGCAGCGACAGGGUCCAGGGUCAGUAACUACAUGUAGGGUGGCUCUGGUCCAGGGUAAGCAGCCACGUGUGGUUUAGAAACAGGGUCCAGGGUCAGCAGCCACGUGUUGUGUGGCUCCGGUCCAGGUGGCCACCCACCUGUGGGCCAGGCCUGGUGGUCUGGAAGGGCAUGGUGUCCUGCAGGCUUUGUGCAUACUGGCCUGGGAGGAGGGAUAAGGGAAUAUGUGGCAAUGGGUUGGUGUAGGACUUCCAAGUCCUGCUAAGAAGCUUGGAUUUUAUUUCUUGUGAGGGGUUGGGCAUCUAGGAAGGACAUGAUCAAGGCCAUGUUCAACAAAACCUCUUUUUUUUUUUUUUUUAAAGUUUAUUUAUUUAUUUAUUUUUGAGAAGAGCACAAGCAGGAGAGGGGUGGAGUGAGAGGGAAUAAAACAGAAUCUGAAGUAGGUCCCAGACUCUGAGCUGUCAGUAGACAGCUCUGAUGCAGGGCUCGAACCCACAAACGGUGAGAUCAUACCUGAGCCGAAGUGGGUUGCUUAACCGACUGAGCCACCCAGGCUCCCCAACAGAACCUCUUUACUGAAAUAUUGCAUGAUACAUACUCAGAAGUGUAGCUUAUGUAUUUAGCUCCGUGAAUUUUCACAAACUGAAUAUAUAUCCAUGUACCCAGCACCCCACCCAAGCUCUCAAGUGGUUUAUUUUUUCUAAACUUUCAAAACAAUUGUGGAAAUAAUUAGAGGUACAGGGAGGUGGUACUGUGUACCCUUCCCUGGACCUCCACCAGUGGUAACAUCUUGGAUUCCUUAAGUACAACACCAAAACCAGGUAAUUGUGAUUGGUGCAGUGCACUAGGCUUACUCAGAUUUUACCGGUUUUACGUGCUUUCGUUUAUGUACGUGUGUAUGUAGUUACGCAUCAUUUUGCACCAGCCAUGUGUGAGUUGCUCUUCAUCCUUACCAGCAAUCGAUAUUGUCAGAACAUUAUGACAUAUGGGGCAUCUGGGUGGCUCAGUUGGUUAAGCAUCCGACUCUUGAUUUAGACUCAGGUCAUGAUCUCAUGGUUCACGAGUUCAGUCCCUAGGUUGGGCUCUGUGCUGACAGCUUGGAGCUGUCUUGGGAUUCUCUCUCUCCCUCUUGCUCUGCCUCUCCCCUGUAUGCAAGCAUGUGCACUGGUUCUCAAAAUAAACAAACCUAAAAAACAUAAUGACACAUAUUCAGCCAUUCUGGUAGGUGUAGAGUGAAACCUCCACUGUUGUAAUUUCUAUCACUAUGGACUAGUUUUGCCUAUUUAAUUUAAUUUAUUUAUUAAAAAAGUUUUUUUAAUGUUUAUUUUUGAGAGAGAGAGAGAGAGAGAGAGAGAGACAGAGCAUGAAUGAGGGAGGGGCAGAGAGAGAGGGAGACACAGAAUCCGAAGCAGGCUCCAGGCUCUGAGCUGUCAGCACAGAGCCCGAUGCAGGGCUCGAACCCACAAGACUACGAGAUCACGACCUGAACCGAGGUCGGAUGCUCUGAGCCACCCAGGUGCCCCUAAUUUUUUUUCAUGUUUAUUUAUUUAUUUUGCGAGAGAGAACGGGGGAGGGGCAGAGAGCAUGGGGGAGAGGCAGAGAGCUUGGGGGAGAGAGGAUCCUAAGCAGGCUCUGUGCUGAAAGCCCAACACAGGGCUCCAUCUCAUCCAGGAGAUCAUGACCUGAGCCUUAAUCAAGAGUCGGAUGCUUAACUGACUGAGGCACCCAGGUGCCCCUAGUUUUGCCUAUUUUAGAUCUUCAUGAAAAUCAUAUAGUACUUAUGCUCUUCUUGUCUGGCUUUUUCUGCUCAACACAGUGUCUCUAAGGUUCGUUUAUGUUUUUGUGUGUAUCAGCAGUUUAUUGAUUUUUAUGGCCAACUGUAUUCCCUGCUGUGAAUAUACCACAGUUGAUUUAGGCAUUUGCCCAGCAGCAGACUUACAGGUUGUUUCCAGCCUACAGCUAUCAUGAAUAUGUUUUAGAAUAUACUGUCCUCCAAAAUAGAUUGUGCCAAUUUCCCGUUCUCCUCUCUGAGUGGGAGCUGGGAAAGUGGCAGUGGAGGAGAAAAUACAUCCUGAGCACGUACCAUUGACCCUCUGUGGUGGUGGCUUCUUUGGGAAGGGACUGGGCAUUCUUGGUUCCUGGUGGCCUCCCCUGGCCUAUUUUAAGCGUUUCUGUUGGGAAAAACCUCAUGGAAAUGCUUGUCUGCUCUGAUGUACUCAAGGAUCAGUGCAUUUUACGGCAUCCUUCUUAAGAAAACCCUCGGAAGAAAUUCCUGUGGAGGCUCAGUAGCAGAAAUAAUUUCAUUUCUCCUGAGCCAUUGGUUUGUUCUUAUUUUAAGGACACCGUGAAUUGGCAACUGAUCAAGUUACACACAUGCGAGGUCCUUACAUAUCAAGUGCCGUUUGCUUUUGUAUCAGCCUUACGAAUCGCUCCAUUUUGCGUGCUGGCCUCUGUGUAGUUUUCCGUCCUUGCUUUCCUGUUAUACUUUAUGAAUACCUGGGAGCCACGUUUAUGCUUUUCUGUCGCAGGUGGGGUGUAAUGAAUCAGUCACUUAACGCCAUGACUCGGGGGCAUCUUUGGCAGAGGAGCAGUUGCCCUGGCUCUGGGUGGUGUUGGAAGGGUUGUCUAGCAGAAGUGGGAGCCUUCCUGUGACCUCAGCCUCCUUGGCUGUUGAUGAACUGGCCUCAUACUGGCUUCAGACAAGCAUGUAAAGCACCAGCAAACCCUCCAGCUGCCUCUGAAGCUGGCUGCCGUGUCAUCCUUUGCCCCAGAUUUUGUUGGCUCUGGCUCCACCUUGUCCCACCCGAGCCCUUCCCAAUGUCCCUUCUUACCCCGCUGCCUGUGUGCUUUCUUGGAUGCUGCUGACCUUGUCAUGUCUGUCAUUUUCAUUCUCUCUUGAGUUUUGCUCCCUCUCCCCUUGCCCUACAAGUCCUUGGCUGGGAGUAGAGUUGGUAUCACCCCUGCCUUGGUCCCCUCUCUUCUCUGGCCCUGCCAUAUUCCAAGUUUCUUGUGUUGAUGGACAGGAGCGUGUGCUGACCAGGAGGAGGGGGUAGGACCGGGGGCUGCGGCUCCUAAAUGCAGCAGCUGUAGAAAGGAAUGUGCUCCCCAAACCCACUCUCCCCCUGCCACACCCUGGGUGCUGUAAAGGAGCUGGGAGUGACAGCUGCAGAGCUUCCUGAAUUAGGGGGCCUAAGUCACAGGUUCCCCCGCGGGGCCGCCUGUUUUAGCGGAUAGCCUCAGGAUCAGAUUAAGGAGGAGGCAGGAAAGUGACUGGAAGAAGGCUGCAGGUGCUGCACACGUCUCAGAGAUCAGCUCUCUCAUUGCGUCUCGCCCUGUGGCAGAUAAAGAGGAUGUUCCGAAAAUCCCAAGAGAGAAUUGAUGAAAAUCUCCUGUUCUCCUAUUGAGAGAAGAAUGUAUUAGUAGGGCUGGGCAGGCACUGAAGGUCAAUGGGGGGCUGCUGGUUUGAGAUCAGGGGAGAGGCAUUCUCCAUUCUCCAGGGAAUCCUCGUGGUGCCUGUCCCUGGCCUUCAGCAGGAAGGUGGGGUGGCAGGUGUGGUGACCUGGAGCACUCUGGCUGGUUCUGGGCCUCACAUCGUAUUCAAAAGAGCAGAACUAGCACUCUCUGGUAGUGAGUUCCCUGUACCUGGAGGUGUUCAGUUGGAGGCUGGAUAGAGUUUUUUGUGGAGGGGAUUCCUGUAAUGGAUGGGAAUUUGGGUCCUUCUAAGGAUAAAUGGGAAAAUAUGGUGAAGGUUGCUUUCUGCACUGUGUUAGCACUGAGUAUGGAGCAGAUCCAGAUGCAGAGGCCUGCCUGGUAGGGUCCGACCUCGUUUUCUCAGUCCCUCAAGGAACUGUUGAGGUACGGAUUGACCUAGGAAAAAAAUCAGUGGCCAAAGAGGGACCAAACUGCAGGGACUAUGUGAGGCUGAGGACCCUUAGGCAGAGGCUCUGGCAGCUUCUGUCCAAAGAACGAGCUGGGGAGAGGGCCAGGCCUUGCUCUGGGCAGACAGCGGCAGCCCCGGAGGGUGGGUGAUGUGGGGUGAAGCCGGUGUGGAGCUCUUACAGGGCAAAGUGAGGUCUCUUUAAGAAUUAUGACCUGGUAUGGGAAUGCAAGCUGGUGCAGCUACUUUGGAAAACAGUGUGGAGGUUCCUCAAAAACCUAAAAAUAGAACUACCCUAUGACCCAGCAAUUGCACUACUAGGCAUUUAUCCAUGAGAUACAGGUGUGCUGUUUCGAAGGGACACACGCACCCCCAUGUUUAUAGCAGCACUAUCAACAACCAAAGUAUGGAAAGAGCCCAAAUGUCCAUCGAUGGAUGAAUGGAUAAAAAAGAUGUGGUAUAUUUAUACGAUGGAGUAUUACUCGGCAAUCAAAAAGAGUGUUAUCUUGCCAUUUGCAACUACGUGGACGGAACUGGAGGGUAUUAUGCUAAGUGAAAUUAGAGAAAGACAAAAAUCAUAUGACUUCACUCCUAUGAGGACUUUAAGAGACAAAACAGAUGAACAUAAGGGAAGGGAAACAAAAAUAAUAUCAAAACUGGGAGGGGGACAAAACAGAAGAGACUCAUAAAUAUGGAGAACAAACAGAGGGUUACUGGAGGGGUUGUGGGAGGGGGGGAUGGGCUAAAUGGGUCAGGGGCAUCAAGGAAUCUUCUCCUGAAAUCGUUGUUGCACUAUAUGCUAACUAAUUUGGAUAUAAAUUUUUAAAAAUAAAAAAUAAAAUAAUAAAAAAAAGAAUUAUGACCUGGGAGGGGCACCUGGGUGGCUUAGUGGUUUAAGGGUCCAUGGUCUGACUUUGGCUCAGGUCAUGAUCUCGCGGUUUGUGUUUCAUGGUUCGAGCUCUGCAUUGAGCUCUGUGUUGAUAGCUCAGAGUCUGGAUCCAGAUUCGGAUUCUGAGACUCUGUGUCUCCCCCUCUCUGCCCCUCCUCCACUUGCGCUCUGUCUCUGUCUGUCUCUCAAAAAUAAAUAAACAUUAAAAAAGUUAAAAAAAAAAAAAAAAGAAUUAUGACCCGGGAGUUUCUCUUCAAUUGAGUCUACCCUCCUUUUUAAUCUCUCACUUUCCAAACAGGGUGCCUUUUACUUUGAUGUUUAAAAAUUGUGGUUAAAAUUUACCAUUUUAAUCCUUUCUGAUUUUUAAUUCAGCGGUAUGAAGCACAUUCACAGUGUGGUGCAACCAUCAGCACUGUUCUUCUCCAGAAUGUUUUCAUUAUUCUAAAAUUUUUUUUUUUCAACGUUUAUUUUUAUUUUUGGGACAGAGAGAGACAGAGCAUGAACGGGGGAGGGGCAGAGAGAGAGGGAGACACAGAAUCGGAAACAGGCUCCAGGCUCUGAGCCAUCAGCCCAGAGCCCGACGCGGGGCUCGAACUCACGGACCGCGAGAUCGUGACCUGGCUGAAGUCGGACGCUUAACCGACUGCGCCACCCAGGCGCCCCUGUUUUCAUUAUUCUAAAUAGAAACUCUGUAUCCAUUAAACGCUAACCCCCCCCCCCCCCCCCCCCCCGUGCUCCCUUCCCUCCACCCCUGGCACCCACCAUCUACUUUGACUUUUUUUUUUUUUUUAGUCUUUUUGACUUUUCUAGAUGCCUCAUAUAAGUGCAUUCAUGCAAUAUCUAUCUCUUAUGAACUGACUUGUGUCCCCCCAAAAUUCAUGUUGAAUUCCUAACUCCUAGUAUCUCAGAGUGUGACUGUACUUGGACACAGGGUCUUUACAGAGGUGAUUACGGUAAAAUGAGGUCACACGGGUGCGCCCUGGUCCAAGGUGAUUGGUGUCCAUACAAGAAGAGGAGAUUAGGACACAGAUGACACAGACCAAGAGAUGACCAUAUGAGAAGGACACAGUGAGGAGACGCAGUGGCUCCACAAAGCCAAGGAGAGAGGCCUCAGAAGAAAUCACACCUGCCGGCACCUUGAUCUUGGACUUCCAGCCUCCAGAACUAUGAGAAAUAAAUUUCUGCUGUUUAAGCUGCCCGGUCUGCAGCGUUUU
rnacentral:lncRNA from 1 species